CAGCAGCCACGGUAAUACGUAGGGUGCAAGCGUUAAUCGGAAUUACUGGGCGUAAAGCGUGCGCAGGCGGUUCGCUAAGACAGGUGUGAAAUCCCCGGGCUUAACCUGGGAACUGCGCUUGUGACUGCACAGCUAGAGUAUGGCAGAGGGGGGUGGAAUUCCACGUGUAGCAGUGAAAUGCGUAGAGAUGUGGAGGAACACCGAUGGCGAAGGCAGCCCCCUGGGCCAAUACUGACGCUCAUGCACGAAAGCGUGGGGAGCAAACAGGAUUAGAUACCCCUGUAGUCCCUGUCUCUUAUAC
rnacentral:rRNA from 1 species